GAGUAAUAUAUCGGAACGUACCCUGGAGUGGGGGAUAACGUAGCGAAAGUUACGCUAAUACCGCAUACGAUCUAAGGAUGAAAGUGGGGGAUUCGCAAGAACCUCAUGCUCCUGGAGCGGCCGAUAUCUGAUUAGCUAGUUGGUGGGGUAAAGGCCUACCAAGGCAUCGAUCAGUAGCUGGUCUGAGAGGACGACCAGCCACACUGGAACUGAGACACGGUCCAGACUCCUACGGGAGGCAGCAGUGGGGAAUUUUGGACAAUGGGCGAAAGCCUGAUCCAGCAAUGCCGCGUGAGUGAAGAAGGCCUUCGGGUUGUAAAGCUCUUUUGUCAGGGAAGAAACGGUGAGAGCUAAUAUCUCUUGCUAAUGACGGUACCUGAAGAGUAAGCACCGGCUAACUACGUGCCAGCAGCCGCGGUAAUGCGUAGGGUGCAAGCGUUAAUCGGAAUUACUGGGCGUAAAGCGUGCGCAGGCGGUUUUGUAAGUCUGUCGUGAAAUCCCCGGGCUCAACCUGGGAAUUGCGAUGGAGACUGCAAGGCUAGACUCUGGUAGAGGGGGGUAGAAUUCCACGUGUAGCAGUGAAAUGCGUAGAGAUGUGGAGGAACACCGAUGGCGAAGGCAGCCCCCUGGGUCAAGAUUGACGCUCAUGCACGAAAGCGUGGGGAGCAAACAGGAUUAGAUACCCUGGUAGUCCACGCCCUA
rnacentral:rRNA from 1 species